rnacentral:misc_RNA from 1 species
UAAAAAAAAAAAAAAACUAUUUUCUCAUAAUACUGCAAUUAUAGUAUUGAUGUCUGCUAUAAGUGAUCAAUUAAUUGGAGGAAUAUGUAUUUACUUUGACAGCAAUAACGGAUCAUGAUUGUUACACAGAGACACAUUCUUUAUAUGAAUAUGUUGCUAAGUGCUGGAGUUUGAUGGUGGAAACUUAAAUAGAUAGUGGGUUGGGGGUGGGAGUAGGAUCUGUUACCCGUUGUAAAUAUGAUUUUGCACUGCCUUCUCAAAAAGUUCUUUUGAGACACUGGCAUUGGAAAUGAUACCUUUCUACGAAUUCAUAUCGUAGGGAUUUAAUUAGCUUACUUGCCAUGUUUAUUUUUUGAGCUGGCUUUAUGAAGUAGUUGAGAUGAUGGAAUAGAACAGGUCAUAUUACAAGCAAUUAAUCUCCUCCCUCAACUCACUGGUGCAUUGUCGUACUUGGACAGGUAUUGGAGGAAAAUCUUGACUGGGAGGACGUGCAAUGGUCUCAAACUGGCGUUAGGAUUGCUGGGAAGGAAUACACCCUUGCAAGGGUGCAUUUUCUGUCUCCAAAUUAGCCGUAUCUUGUUUCUUAU